CUGCUCUGCUUUGUUCACGGUAGGAGGGAAGCUGCUGAAACCAGCAGGGGGCGUCCAUGGGAAGAGGAAAAUCCUGGAGGAUGAACCGCUGACCGACGGUUUCCUGUCGAGCACCUGAGUUAACGACGACAGAAAAAACAGAUCUUCACUGUGGAGCCAGACACCGCCCCCUGUCUGCAGGUUGACUUAGAGGGGCUUCAACAGGACCGCAGCCCCCGACGGCAACUCUGAGGGUCGACUCUCGGCACAACGACGUUCCACCGGAACAGUCUGUUCAACUCGGACGUCGAUUCAAAGACCGGGCCGUAAUUGAAGAAAAAUAAAAGAGAAGCUAAUACGAGUCUGUGAAGUGGGGCCUAAUGCACCAACGGCGCCGCUCUUCAGACUGCCCCCAUGCUGCUCUUGUUGGCGUUGCCCGCCUGACCCUGGUGAACCGACCCACCCCCGGCCCUGUCGUUGAGGUGGGACGGCAGCGGGCUCAUGAACAGAAUCCUCGCAAUGAGCCCGUAAAGGACCAGCGCCACACAGAGGGGGGCGACGUAGAACAGCGUGA